AGAGUUUGAUCAUGGCUCAGGACGAACGCUGGCGGCGUGCCUAAUACAUGCAAGUAGAACGCUGAAGUCUGGUGCUUGCACCGGAUGGAUGAGUUGCGAACGGGUGAGUAACGCGUAGGUAACCUACCUCAUAGCGGGGGAUAACUAUUGGAAACGAUAGCUAAUACCGCAUAACAGUCUUUAACUCAUGUUAGAGGCUUGAAAGGGGCAAUUGCUUCACUAUGAGAUGGACCUGCGUUGUAUUAGCUAGUUGGUGAGGUAACGGCUCACCAAGGCGACGAUACAUAGCCGACCUGAGAGGGUGAUCGGCCACACUGGGACUGAGACACGGCCCAGACUCCUACGGGAGGCAGCAGUAGGGAAUCUUCGGCAAUGGGGGCAACCCUGACCGAGCAACGCCGCGUGAGUGAAGAAGGUUUUCGGAUCGUAAAGCUCUGUUGUAAGAGAAGAACGUGUGUGAGAGUGGAAAGUUCACACAGUGACGGUAUCUUACCAGAAAGGGACGGCUAACUACGUGCCAGCAGCCGCGGUAAUACGUAGGUCCCGAGCGUUGUCCGGAUUUAUUGGGCGUAAAGCGAGCGCAGGCGGUUUGAUAAGUCUGAAGUUAAAGGCUGUGGCUCAACCAUAGUACGCUUUGGAAACUGUCAAACUUGAGUGCAGAAGGGGAGAGUGGAAUUCCAUGUGUAGCGGUGAAAUGCGUAGAUAUAUGGAGGAACACCGGUGGCGAAAGCGGCUCUCUGGUCUGUAACUGACGCUGAGGCUCGAAAGCGUGGGUAGCGAACAGGAUUAGAUACCCUGGUAGUCCACGCCGUAAACGAUGAGUGCUAGGUGUUAGGCCCUUUCCGGGGCUUAGUGCCGCAGCU
rnacentral:rRNA from 1 species